CUCAUCACCACCGCGCUAAGGAGGCGACAAAUCCCCUACCCUGCCACAGCAAGAAAAGCAGAGCUAUUCAAACUCCUAAGCACUAGACAUGUGCAAUUCGUUUCGGUCCGAAUGUGAAUUCGGACGAAUUUCGGGUACUUCCAAAUGUCCGAAUAGAUGAAUUGUCGAAGUGCUGGAGUGCCGAAGUUCCGAAGCACAGUAUUGCCUAAGAACUAAUAUAC